CCCGGGACGUUUUGGGCAGAGGG
rnacentral:piRNA from 1 species